GCUGGCUUAGUUACUGCAAGACGCGCGUCUAAACGGUCGAUGGAACGGAAAAACCUAAAACUCAAAGCGAGCGCGUCUCGUGCACUUAAUAUUUUUAACAUAAAUACACGCUUAUUUGGACUACUUCAACAGUCGAGCAUUGUCUAAAAGCAAAAACGUGUUUCACUAACACUCGCUUGCUGGUGUGCGUGCAUGCGUGUGCGUGUGUUUGUACUAGUUGCUGCACAAUUGCCUUUUGAAACAAAACAGCGAGCACUUUCGCUUCACACAAUGUGUUGUUGCCAACGUGCUUUCCGGUCGCCCAUUGAGCGUAACGACAUUUAGAGAAUUUGUGGGCGUACGCGGCGUAUGAGUGAUACAUUUCUUUUGUUUUGUUAUUAUUUAGCCAAAUACAUUUGUAACACAGAGUGCACAGCAUGAAGUGAAACUGUAGAAGACAAAGCAAUAAGCGUUUUUUGUCAAAGAUUAAGAGCAACCAACACAAACAACGACAAAAAAUCAAAAUUAAGCAACAACAAAAUUGAAAAUAGCUGAAGAAAAUUUCCGAAAUCAGCGAAAAGAGCACGAAGAUAGAAAUCUUCGUUAAAAUAGAACAAAAACAACCAACACAAAAGUAACGGUAAAAGUCUCCGGUAACUGGUACAUCACCUAAUCUGCCAACGCUACGGAAGUAAUCAACGCUAACAAGGACAAUAUGACACGCUUUCGACGAAUUGUGUUGGCACAAUAUUAAUGCUGAGAACUUAUAAUGACGGCGCUAAAAAGUAUGCAGAGCUUAUGCAAAUAAUAAGUAAAUGCUAUAUAAGGGGGCUGUGUGAAAACAUUGAAUCACAAAACGGGACUGCAAAAUAAGAGAAAAUCCUACAGCGAUCCGGGCGCUACAGAUAUUUAUUAAACUGCUGGGAAAGUUAAUUACGAAGGAUUACAAAUGUAGUUACAAUGGCAGUGUGAUAAAGAGAUAUUCUGAAAAAUAAUAAAGAAGAAAUAGCGGCAAAAAUAAUGCGGCAGACGGCGAAUAUGCACAGACAAGAAAAGUAUUUUUAAUAACAAUAACAACAGCAACAAUAUAUUAUAAAUGAAAUUAAACACAAAAACAAGCCACGAAUUUGGAGCAACAAGCAGAGAGGAUUUUAGAAAGCCAACUCCUAUACCUACACGCAGGCUUUAAAAAGGAAUAGCUGAGAAAAAAGUAUUAUAAAAUUUUUAAAACAGCAUUACAAGCACUAAAUACAAUGAUCAUAGAGGCAACAUUAACUACAAGUUACUUUCGAGAAUCAAGUCAAGUAACGAAGCCAAAUGAAUGUAAAACACAGCAGCACAGACAAGAUUAAGAGCUGCUAAGCCAGUAAACCGGAUUUCAAAUAUAACACUGACCAACUCAGCAAAAAGCUAACAGUUCUUACCGUGUGCUUCUGAAGAUUUUUGGAAAUUUAUUUUAAAUACCCGAAGACUAGGUGGCGAAUAUGGCGGAAGGCGAUAAUUACGACGAUGAGGGGCUCCUGGCAAUGUGAAAUCUUUGGAAAUGUGAAAUGUAGGAAACCAAUGGAACUUGGGAUAUAAAAACUUCACUUUUUCUGCUAAGAUAAAAAAACAUUUGCACCUUAUACAUUUUCUAUACCGGCGGGUAAAGGCUAUACCUUAUUGGCGCAGAAUGUCGUAAAACUUUUUCGACACUCAAUAUUGAAACAAUAUACACUCUUCGAUAUACAUACAAACGAGCGAAAGCAUCAAGUUGAAAAUCGAUGCACAUAGCGAUGAGUGGCCCUAUCUACACUAUGCCCGCUUCGUAACCUCUCAAGCGGCUAACAGAGACAAUGCAAGCACCACCUUCACCAGCAGCACAACCGGUGGCAAUGCGCUAGUGAUGGUCUAUAACUAUGACAUCUACUAAUGCCAAGAACCACGUUCCAUCAAUCAAGUGCACCGCUAACGCUCCAUGCAGUGCCUGGCAUAGUCUACAAAGGCAUACCCGAUUGGCUGUAUGAAGUUGAAUGUAUAUACACAUAAAUACAACGUGUAAACCAUAAUUGGAAAAUGUGCAGCGUCCAACACGCUCUUCGAUGACCACUUGCCAGGUCAACCUCUUCACCGGCCUACUCAUCUUUGCUAUUGGUGCUGGCAUUACUACGGCGUCUGCUGCUGAUGCCUACUAUCGUUGCCUGCUUCUUGUAUGUUAUUUGUGGAGGAAAUCCUGCACUCGAAUAACGCAAUUUGGCUUUCGGAGAAUAGACACUUAAUAUUUUAAUUUCAAUGACUUGCUGGUGUAGGAGCAACAUUUCACUUGGUAUCGUGCAACAAGUGAUGUCCAUACGAAAUAAGAUUUUUAAGCUCAUCGUUCCAUCGAAUGCGAUAUUCGCCGUGGCCAACGCGCAAAGGUCCAUAAAUCGUACGCAGAACCUUUCACUCAAAAACUCGCGACGUCGAAUCAUCAGAUGUUGUCAUCGUCCAAGCCUCUGCACCAAACAGCAGGACGGGAAUAACGAGUCACUCAUAGAUUCAAGUCGAGAGAGACUUUACUUCUCAAUUGCCUACUCAGUUGAAGUAGCACCUAUUGGCAAGCGAUAUUCUGCGUUUAAUUUCUAGGCUGACAUUGUUGUUGCUGUUCACACUGGUUUCAAAAUAGAAUAAAAUAAACAAUGGUGCUACGAAUCUCUCACAUCCUUCAACUGCGAGUUUUCGUACACCAAGCUGGAAUUACUCAACGGAGCCCACAUCUCAAUUCACGACGCGGUAACACAAUAUUGUUGUUUUUCGGAGCACAGGGUGGCUAUUUAGGUGUGGUGAAAAUACUAAUAAAGUCGGUGAUACUCGUAGGGUGAAUAAGCCAUUGGCAAAUGAAUCAUCUCACAGGGUUAUCUCUCCUCCCCACGGCAAAUGCCAAGAUACGAAUUGAUGGAGCUUCACCACCUUCUAUCUGCCUAAAAGGAAUGCUAUUACAAGUGUAAAGUGUUGUUGCAAAAUGGCUGACUGAGGUCUUGAAACACAGAACUAAGUGCCGAUGUGAGAGUUGCAUUGGUAAAAUAUUGGCAAUAUACGCUUUUCAAAAAUCAAGUUUCAGAAUUUCUUUCGAAAACUUAAUAUUAAAAUAUCAUUCUAAUCAAUUAUAAUAUAUUACUUGAAAAUGUAAUUUCUUAAAAAUUUUAUUUAAUUCGCCAAGAAAAGUGUCCAAUGAGAGGUGAUGGGAUUAGUGCAAUAAAGAAAAUAUGAUUAUUUGAAAAGUAA